CGCGUGGGAAUCUACCCAGUAGUGGGGGACAACAGUUGGAAACGACUGCUAAUACCGCAUACGCCCUAAGGGGGAAAGCAGGGGACUCUUCGGAGCCUUGUGCUAUUGGAUGAGCCCGCGUGAGAUUAGAUAGUUGGUGAGGUAAUGGCUCACCAAGUCUACGAUCUCUAGCUGGUCUGAGAGGAUGAUCAGCCACACUGGAACUGAGACACGGUCCAGACUCCUACGGGAGGCAGCAGUGGGGAAUAUUGCACAAUGGGCGAAAGCCUGAUGCAGCCAUGCCGCGUGUGUGAAGAAGGC
rnacentral:rRNA from 1 species